CCUACGGGAGGCAGCAGUGGGGAAUAUUGCACAAUGGGGGGAACCUUGAUGCAGUAACGCCGCGUGGGUGAAGAAGUACUCCGGUAUGUAAAGCCCUGUCAGCAGGGAAGAAAAUGACGGUACCUGACCAAGAAGCCCCGGCUAACUACGUGCCAGCAGCCGCGGUAAUACGUAGGGGGCAAGCGUUAUCCGGAUUUACUGGGUGUAAAGGGAGCGUAGACGGCAAGGCAAGUCUGGAGUGAAAGCCCGUGGGCCAACCACGGGACUGCUUUGGAAACUGUGUUGCUGGAGUGCAGGAGGGGUAAGCGGAAUGCCUAGUGUAGCGGUGAAAUGCGUAGAUAUUAGGAGGAACACCGGUGGCGAAGGCGGCUUACUGGACUGUAACUGACGUUGAGGCUCGAAGGCGUGGGGAGCAAACAGGAUUAGAUACCCCUGUAGUC
rnacentral:rRNA from 1 species